rnacentral:rRNA from 1 species
AUGUCUUCUUCCGUCCACUUCUUCCCCGCCGCCUCGCAGGCUCCCACCGCCGCCUGCCUCCUCAGGCCAUCCCCCAAACCCCUCCUCCACAGCCCCAUCUCGGCCACCGCCGCCGCCUUCCAGCUCCGGAGCGCCCCGCCGCGCCUCCGCCUCAGGAGGCGAACUCGAGUUCGCACCGCCCCGAAAACACCGCCCGAAGCGCCUCCCGUGGGCCCCGACCCCGACGGCGGGGGCGGCGGAGGAGGGGAGGGCGGCGGUGGAGGCGGAGGGGACGGGGACGAGGAGGGGGAGAGGCAGGGGCUGCUGCCCGAGUGGCUCACCGUGACGACGGAGGACGCCAAGACGGUCCUCGCCGCCGUCGCCAUCUCCCUCGCCUUCCGCGCCUUCGUCGCCGAGCCGCGGUUCAUUCCCUCCCUCUCCAUGUUCCCCACCUACGACGUCGGCGACCGCAUUGUCGCCGAGAAGGUUACAUACUACUUUAGGAAGCCUUGUGUAAAUGAUAUUGUAAUAUUCAAAAGCCCGCCGGUGCUACAGGAUGUUGGGUAUACUGAUAAUGAUGUUUUCAUCAAAAGAAUAGUUGCCAGGGCUGGAGAUACUGUUGAGGUUCAUAAAGGAAAACUAGUUGUGAAUGGUGAGGCUAGGGAUGAAGAAUUCAUUCUUGAGCCACCUUCUUAUGACAUGAACCCAGUGCAAGUGCCUGAAAAUGCAGUUUUUGUAAUGGGAGAUAACCGAAAUAACAGUUAUGAUUCCCAUGUGUGGGGUCCUCUUCCUGCAAAGAACAUAUUGGGAAGAUCUAUUUUCCGGUACUGGCCGCCUGGUCGAAUAGGGUCAACUACCCGUGAUUGCUUUGGCCCUGAAACCAAACCAGAAUCACUCAUUGAUGUCAAAUUGACAAAGUAG